rnacentral:rRNA from 1 species
UACGUAGGGUGCAAGCGUUAAUCGGAAUUACUGGGCGUAAAGCGUGCGCAGGCGGUGAUGUACGACCGGUGUGAAAUCCCCGGGCUUAACCUGGGAACUGCAUUUGUGACUGCAUCGCUGGAGUGCGGCAGAGGGGGAUGGAAUUCCGCGUGUAGCAGUGAAAUGCGUAGAUAUGCGGAGGAACACCGAUGGCGAAGGCAAUCCCCUGGGCCUGCACUGACGCUCAUGCACGAAAGCGUGGGGAGCAAACAGG